UCCGGCUUCUCGCCGGCAGUCCCCUUCGAGUGCCCGACAUAACUCGCUGGCAACAUGCGACAGGGGUUGCGCUCGUUGCGGGACUUAACCCAACAUCUCACGACACGAGCUGACGGCAGCCAUGCACCACCUGUGAUCCUGCCCAAAAGGGAAGCCGUGUUUCCACGGCGGUCAGGAACAUGUCAAACCCAGGUAAGGUUCUUCGCGUUGCGUCGAAUUAAACCACAUGCUCCGCUGCUUGUGCGGGUCCCCGUCAAUUCCUUUGAGUUUUAGUCUUGCGACCGUACUCCCCAGGCGGAGUGCUUAAUGCGUUAGCUGCGGCACAGAGCGGGUUGAAGACCGCCCCACACCUAGCACUCAACGUUUACGGCUGGGACUA
rnacentral:misc_RNA from 1 species